UUAGGGAGCUGUCGAAGGUGGGAUCGGCGAUUGGGACGAAGUCGUAACAAGGUAGCCGUACCGGAAGGUGCGGCUGGAUCACCUCCUUUCUAAGGAGC
rnacentral:rRNA from 1 species